GUAGUUUGCAUCCACACCAUUAAACUCCGAGAGCCAGCUCCUCUCUGCACAGACACAGAGGCACACGGGUGAUCACUGGAAGUUACAAUACCAAGGAAGAGCUUGGGGAUCACCCAGUGCGAAACCAUCAUUUUAAAGACAGCCUUGCCAAGGCCGUUCAGACACACCUCAGUGCAAUCCCUGCUGGCCAGCACCCUGUCAUCAUGCAGCCUCCACCUUGCCCAGCAACUGGGGAAUGCUCACUCACGCCAUGCUCUUCUGGGAGAUUUGAUGUGGACCAUAGCCAAAUCUGCACCUCUAAUUGGGCCUUAUAUUUUUACCUUUACUUGUAUUGCCUGUGUCUUUUACACUGCAGCAGUCCAGCUGAAUCCCUGGCACCCAGAACACUGGAAAGUGCUAAGUAAAUAUCUUGUCGAGUGACUCACCCCAGCAUUAUGAGGUAGGUACUGCCAUCCCUACGUUGCACGUGAGGAGACAAGCUUACCAAGGUUAAGUCAACUGCCAGUCGCCUUAGCUAGUAAACUGCCAUUAGGUAUCUUGACUGGGAUGUCCCCAAGGCCCCAUGCACCCACCCUCCCCACUCCGCCUCCACUGCCCCUCCACCAGUCUCCUUCCUGUACUCCCCACGCUGGCCCUGCUCCUGCCCUGGCCCUGCUGAACUGCCCAGGUUCAGCCCCCGACUCUGGCUCCCCAGCACUUCCUGCCACGCCCUUCCCUACAAGCUUCUCCUCUUUUGAGCUUUUCCCUACAAUGCACCCAGGCUAAGCCCUCCCAAGCCAAAUCUGAAUGAGCUCUCCUGCAAGUAAAGCCUUGCCAUGGCUCCCCACACCCUUGAGAAUAAAACUCAAGCUCUACCUCCCACUUCACACGCCAGCACCUGGCUCGAUGAGAUCCUCUCCACUCCAGUGUCUGCUUCUAACUCUCCAAACACAUCACAAACGGCCUGGCCUUCCUGCUCACACACUUUCUGUGCCUCAGAUGCUCAUAUUGCCUGGCAAUUCCAGUUUCCCUGACGCUCAGGCCUCCCUCCUUCGGGAAGCCCUCCCUGCCCCAACCCCACCUCAGGCUCAGGCAGGGACACGUGAUGCUCGUCACCACAUGUACAGAGAUAUAAUCACCUAGUUACGCAUCCACCUCCUGGAUUCAACAACAAACGCCUUAAGGGCAGAGACUAGGUCUUUUUUAUCUCGGAUGCUGAGCACCUGGCACAAGGUCUGCACUUCACAGAAACUCAAAUGUCUUAAUGACUCAGUCCCCCUGGUUCUCCAGAACUAGGAGUCAUCUUAGAUUCAGCUGUGAUGGGUAGCCAGUGACGCCUGUUGAUUAUCUCCAAAAUCUCUCUGAAAUCCUGCUUAAAUCCUGCUUCCAUCUCCAUCCCCACUGCACUCCCCGGGCUGAAAUUAACUUCCUUCCUCCAACAUCCCCUUUGUACAAAUACAAUUCCUAUCUGGUUCCUGCCAGAGUCGCUUUACUGAAACACACAUCUGUUGUUAGUUCCAUGCCUGAGGACCCUCUGCAGCUUUUCACCACUUGCAGGGGCACUGGGGGUCCUCCACACUCUUUCCCCCUGUCCCCCUCCAAGCCCACCUACUGUCUACCCACAGGCCCAACACUGGUCUGGCAGCCAUUCUCAGAACUCUCCAGACACAUCGAUGGCCCGUGCAGGCUUUCAGGCAUCCCUUUUGCCAGGAGCGGCCCACUGCCACCUCAUCUUCAAGGCCCAGUUUAGAGGUCAUCUCCUGGGUGGAACCUGCGCGGACUCCCCCUCCUGCCACGCAGAACUCACGCCUGGCCUCCACUCUGUCCUCUACCGCACUUUCAACGCUACCCCUUUCACUGCAAGGUCUGGUCCCUCACUGGGCCCCCCGCAGGUGAGCCAGGCCAGGCCCAGGCCGUGGCACCCGCUGCAAGCACGCGCGUGAGUCAGCCACAGGCCAGGCUGUUUCCUUCGAUUUAACAAGUGCAGUGUUGAACAGCGGCGCACCCUGCCCGCUGUAACAAUGGGAAUAAAGAGCUCAGGAAUAAGACGUGCCUGGCUCAAAGCCAGGGGGUGGGCAGGGCUGGGACCCGGACCAUCGGACUAGAAGUCUUAUUCACCAACAGUUAAACAAAACCCCGCACAGCCGGCGACGGCAGGCCUAAGAAACCACGGGGGGCUCCGGGGCCGGCGCCGGCAGUUCCGCACCGCCGCCACCGCGCUCCUGCGGACCGAGCUCCUUCUAUCUGCAACUCCCCGCCGCGGAGCCGAGCGUUCCGUUCCCUGCACACACUCUGCUUCCCGCAGCCGAAGUGGGAACUUGCGGGGACGCUGAUGCUUACGGCGCCCGCCAGCGAGAAGCAGACUGGGCCGACCGCACCGCUCUCCUGAGCCGGGCACGCCUCCAGCCUCGGCGCCCCGGUGCGCAUGCGCCCCCGGCCGCCGCCCGCCCCCGGCUCGCGUGCACACGCCGCGCCGCGCCCGCCGUGCGCACGCGCAUGCGCAGCCCGCCCUGGCACGCGCCUCGGUCCCUGGGGCGGCGGCGCGGCCCGGGUGGGGCGCGUGGGCCCGGCUCCCUCUGCCGGCCUGCGCGCCGGCCUCCCGAGCGCCCACGCUGGGUGCCCCGGACCGGCCGGGGGUGAGCGGGCGCCGGGGCUCCGGGUCGUGGGCCCGCGCCUCCCUCCCGGCCACGGGCGGACCCUGUUCGUCUUGAGUGGCGGCCGAGCGCACGGCUCUGCGGGCCGCGUCUCCCCGGCCUGUCCUCCGCGGCAGGCGGCCCCGAGGGCGGAGGCGGUCCACCUCUUCUGGGCCUCAGUGCCGCAGCCGGAAGGCGGGCAGUGAUCGUGAUCGUGCCUCCCGGGGCGGGCUGCACGUGAGGUCACAUGAGUUAGCAACAGGUAAAGAACUCAUUCAACCGUGUAAUAAAACUGCAAACAACAGAAGCUUCCCAGAAGGAGAUACACAGAUGGCAAAUAAGUACAAGAAGGAUGCUCGACCAUCAUCUUCAUGAGGGAAACACAAAGCCACAGUGAGACACGGCCACACCAUUGUCCGUCCACUCGAGUGGCCAAAGAAGGCUGACAUCGGCAAGCACCAAGGUUGCAGAGCUGCUGAAAUUCUCAUCCGUUGCAGACAAGAGGGCAAAAUGGUACAACCAAUUUGGAAGCAUUUUGGUGGUUUCUUCUAAAGUUGCCAUACACUUACCCUUCAACCCAGUACUCCCACUCCUAGGUACUUACCCAACAGGGACGAAAACGUGUCCGCACCAGACUUGUACUAAGUUCUCACAUUUUUAAUUGGAUCUCCAGUUAUCACGAUACGAAGGUUGUAGUUGGUCACGCUGAUUCAAGCACUUGUUGCCAUUCAUUUUAUUGUGACUCCUGAGGACAUGUUGAUAAUUUUCUAUUGGUUUCACUCAUAUCUCAUGCAGUUAUAAAAACAGUCUAUAUACUGGAGGUUUGUGGGUACUCAUUUUCAUUCUUUGGCUCAGCAAAGACUAGGGUUAAGUGUCUGGCCCUUUGCUGGUCCCUGUGUCUACAGAGAUGACCAGUCACGUCCUUGUGGACUAGUGGAGGGCAGAGUAGCAACUGGCCACAAGCCCUGACUUGAGCGACUGCCCGGUAAGAUCCUGAUUCUGAUCCUGACUCUGCCACUCCCUAGCCCUGUGACAAGUCAGUGUCAUCCUCUAGACAGUGGGUGUUCUGGUGGCUGAGCUCGAAGAUUAGAAUCUGUGAUAUUAUGAGUUAUGAUAAGAAAUUCAGUCACCUGUGCUCAACAAUGGGGAUAUAUUCUCAGAAAGCUGCGUCAUCAGGCGAUUUCCUUGUUGUGUGAACUUCGUAGAGUGUACUUACGAACCUAGCUGGUAGCCGGCUGCACACCGAGGCUCUGUGGUUAGCCUGGUGCUCCUCGGCUGCAAAGCUGUGCAGCAUGUCACUGUCCUGAGUACUGGAGGCAACUGUGACACAACAGUAUUUGUAUAUUUAGACAUAUCAAAACAGAAAUAGCACAGUAAAAAUAUGGUAUAAAAGAUAAAAAAUGGCACAUCUGUAUGGGGCGCUUACCGUAAAUGGAGCUUGCAGGUCUGGAAGCUGCUCUGGGUGAGUGAGUGGGUGAUGAGUGAGCAAAGGCCUCGGAUGUUCCUGGACACUGCCGCAGACGUUAUAAACUGUACACUUAGGCUACACUAAAUUUAUAAAAAAAGAUUUUUCUUUCUUUAAUAAUAAACUAACCUUAGCUUACUGUACCUUUUUUAUUUUAUAUACUUUAAUUUUUUUAACUUUUUGACUCUUUUGUGAUAAGACAGCUUAAAAUGCAAACACAUUGUACAGCUGUACAAAACUUUUCUUUGUAUCCUUAUUCUAUAAGCUUUUUAAAUUUUUUUAUUUUAUUCUUUUACUUCUUAAACUUUUUUUUUAAAAAGUAAGACUAAUGCACACAUUAGCGUAGACCUGCACAGGGUCAGGAUCCUCAGUAUCACUGUCUU
rnacentral:lncRNA from 1 species